GUUGCUUAAUUUUUGUGGAUUCAAAUACUAUAAAAGAUUAUUAAUUUGAAUAACUAUUCCAUAAAUCAAAAUUAUAGAGAAAUUUGAAUAACUACUAAUUGAUAAAUUUAUACUGUGUUGUCCGGCCGGACCCGGCCCGGCCCGGUCUAUUUAGAGUCGACGCCCCGUUUAAAGUCGCUAUGCGACUCCGGUACGUCGCCGUCUCGUCAUCCAUAGCGUUUCUAUCCUCGUUGAUUUCUCGAUACCGUCGCUCCCCUCACUCUCCUCCGUCUCGUUUUCUCCCUCCACUCUUUAGGGGCUGCUUCUUGCUCUCCAAUGGCUCCCAGGAGUGCUGUUAGUGGCCAUUUGUUGAGUUCGCUGACGCCACGUUUGCAGAAAUCCUCACGCUGCCUAUCAAAUGAAAGUUUUGCCAAUGUUUAUCAUGGACUUCUAGCAGAAGAGAAAAAAAAAUGAGGCCCCUGCAUGCAUAUGGUUUAUUUGGGGGUAAAAAGGACAAGAAUGAAUGAAAAUGAGGUCACUGGAUUGUUGUGUUAAUGUUGCUGUAUUUGAGAAAUUUAAAAGGCGGUUGUCAUAUUGUCUGCUCAACCAUUAAUUUUAAUUUUCAAGGAUUCAAUCAUAUGCAUUUACUGCUUAGUUACAAUCAAGUUAUAGUUUAAGCUCUCCAACUUAAAUUAACUCAUACAAGUUUUGAAAAUAAUAAAUGCAAUGCUUAAUGAAUUGAAGGAAAAAAUCAGGACACGACAGUGAAAAAUCUCCUGUCUUUUAUGGUUUUUCUUUACCUCUUGGACACAAUAGUGAACAUGUCUAGUUAUAAUUUUCCUUUCCUCUUCACACUAGUGAGUUUGGGUUAAGCCUCUUUUCCCUCAACUUUUUGGAGACAAUCUGGAACCGUCACAGUAAUUCUUGUGCUUUGAUAAGCAGGGGAUCAUCGUGGUCAAUGGCAUUCUACUGUUCAAUGAUUUGGCUAUGCUAUUGCUCUCGAUAUCUGACAUCAAACAGGGCUAUGCUUAUGCUCUUCCUUCUCCUUGUCUUCUUUUGAAUGGAUUGUAAUGAUAUGUUACUUUGGAAUCCAUGUACACCAUCAUCUUUAAUUGCCUACCAGGAAAUUAUCCUGGCUGUUGCAACAAUGUUAGCUGUGGCAACUUCCUUGACUUAUGUAAUCAUUGCUCAUUCAAGAUAGCAAGUGGCGUUAAAAUUCUUCUCUCAUUUUUGUCGCUGAUCCAGGCUAUAUCUUUGUUCUAAAUUUCCUGCCAUGUCAUCCCAUGCCAUCUGGGUCUUCUCAUAGUCCAAGCAAGUGAGGUCAGCCAUCUGGAAAACCUUGGCCAUUCUUGACCUAAGCAAGUGAGGUCUUGUUUCUAAGGUUUUGUAUUACAUUCUUACUUUCCAAAAUUAGGACUGGAUCCUCUAUUGUUUCUAGCACUCAUUUGCAAUAUUUUUAGCACAAUCAGAAACUUGCUUGUUCUUUUGUAACUCUUCCUUUCUCAUUCAUUCUUUCUAUAUUUUCCCUUGUAUCUCAUUGUGAAUAUGUUGUGAACUUGAAGAGUGUCUCUGGUUCAACUUGACAUUUUAUUUGUAUUAUAGACAGGUAUUCUGGGAAACAUGCAGAAUUUGUUUGAGACUGUUAAGAAAGCACAAAUGGUAGCUCAAGUAGAAGCCGUUCGAGUACAGAACGAGCUUGAAGCGUAUGAACCAUCUACUACUUUCCCUAGUUUUCUGUUUUCUU